CACGUAGAAUACCAGACAAUGGACAAAGUCUGAAAACCCAGUAAUCCUCAGAAUAAUUUUUUAUUUAGAGGCAUGUAUACACUCCUGGCAGUGGAGAUUUCAUACAGCCUAUCCUACUUCACAUUUCCAACCUAUCAUUUCUAAGGCUACUGUUACACAUGAAAUUCAUUUAGAUCUCCCACGAUGGUAUAUGGAACCCUUGCUGCAACCGUCCAUGCUUCUGUAUCCAGGAAAUUAUGAACAUGACGUAUUAUCCAUUUGUUCAGUAGAGAGAGGAUGUGGUUUAAUAUCCUUAGUGUGACUCAUAAAUCUGAUGACAGAGUACAGCAACUGAGAUCUAGGAACCUGCAUGGUUUAGCAACAGUAUCAUGUACCAGAGGAAUCAUGAAAAAGAUAACACCAGUAAUAAAGACAGCAUGAAAGAUAACCUUAAUAAGAAAAGUAAAGGAGGCUGUAAAAUGAAAGUACAUGAAGAUAUACCAACUUCAAAUGUCACAAUGUCUUAUAUAAAUGAAAGGCAACUUGAAGUGACCAAUGUAUGCAGCAAGGUAUGACUACAAACUGUGGUCAAGGCAAAGCAGUGGACACAACUUUUUACAAUUAUAUGAUUAUUACAGCAGUUUUAUACUUCUUUAUACUUCAAGAUCACUUUAUUUGUAUGCUGCAGUUUAGGGCUUGUAAUUAUAAGACUGAAUGAAGUAUUUGGAAUCAUUUAAUAUCUCUCAGUAUUCUAAUUUAAAUGGCACACUGGCCUGAUAAUCAUGCAUAAUCUGGUACUCAGAGAGGUUGCUAUUGCACUUGGUACUCUUACUUUGGGCACUGUACAGAACUGGCCAGUCCAUCAUCACUACAAUAACAUUUAAAAGUUAAUAACAAUGGCAUGUUAAUACAAUUAUUGACUUUUUAGCCAUUGUCCAUUGCCCUAUUUUUAUUUAAAACAUUGUUUCAGAGACUGAGCUCUGCAUCCAUUCUCAGAUACUCGUAUAAAGCCUACUGAUUUAGGCCCAAAUGAGAGAGGUAUUGUUUUAAAUAAAAACAGGAUGGUGGAUUAUGUCCAAAAAGUCAAUAAUUGUAAUCACAUCAACAUCAUGGUGGAGACUGGCUCCAGCAGUGUAAUCUAGUACUCUAUGGAGAAUGAGAAUGGCAUUAUUUACUCAUUCCUUCUACUCCAUAGAUGAAUAUUUCAAUGUAAACAAACAGUAACUAGUAUCAAUUCUAUGCUAAAGUGUAUUCUCAAGCAUGUUACUGUAUCAUUUUGCUUCUUUUCAGACUGCUAUAUAUAUCCUACUAGCAUGGUAACAGUAAUACUUAUUAUAAUCUUACUUACUUUUUGAACAAAACUAUUAUUGUAUUGAUAUUAUGUAUUUGUACUUGACUUGUUCCAUAUCCUAUGGUGUCAAUCAGAACUUGGAUUUAUGGAACAUAAAUAAAUUUAAAUUCAACAUA